rnacentral:rRNA from 1 species
AUUGAACGCUGGCGGCAGGCUUAACACAUGCAAGUCGAGCGGAGAUGAGGUGCUUGCACCUUAUCUUAGCGGCGGACGGGUGAGUAAUGCUUAGGAAUCUGCCUAUUAGUGGGGGACAACAUUCCGAAAGGAAUGCUAAUACCGCAUACGUCCUACGGGAGAAAGCAGGGGAUCUUCGGACCUUGCGCUAAUAGAUGAGCCUAAGUCGGAUUAGCUAGUUGGUGGGGUAAAGGCCUACCAAGGCGACGAUCUGUAGCGGGUCUGAGAGGAUGAUCCGCCACACUGGGACUGAGACACGGCCCAGACUCCUACGGGAGGCAGCAGUGGGGAAUAUUGGACAAUGGGGGGAACCCUGAUCCAGCCAUGCCGCGUGUGUGAAGAAGGCCUUAUGGUUGUAAAGCACUUUAAGCGAGGAGGAGGCUACCUGGAUUAAUACUCUGGGAUAGUGGACGUUACUCGCAGAAUAAGCACCGGCUAACUCUGUGCCAGCAGCCGCCGCCGUA